rnacentral:ribozyme from 1 species
AAGCUAAAGGUGUCGCUGUCAUAGUAGAUGUACCAAACGAACAAGAAAAAAAUAAUGAAUCAUCUAUACUGGAAAAAGGAUCUUCUUCCUUAUCUUCCUCACCCUUCUUUUUCUGGUCUUUUUUAGUUGUUGUU